rnacentral:rRNA from 1 species
GGAUCUGCGGCCCAUCAGCUAGUUGGUGAGGUAAUGGCUCAACCAAGGCUACGACGGGUAGCUGGUCUGAGAGGAUGAUCAGCCACACUGGAACUGAGACACGGUCCAGACUCCGUACGGGAGGCAGCAGGUGGGGAAUCUUGCGCAAGUGGGCGAAAGCCUGACGCAGCGACGCCGCGUGGGUGACGAAGGCCUUCGGGUUGUAAAGCCCUGUGGGGAGGAACGAACCGUCCGGGGGCUAAUACCCUCCGGGCCUGACGGUACCUCUUUAGCAAGCAUCGGCUAACUCUGUGCCAGCAGCCGCGGUAAGACAGAGGAUGCGAACGUUGCUCGGAAUUACUGGGCGUAAAGCGCGCGUAGGUGGCCUUGUAAGUCUCGUGUGAAAGCCCUCUGCUCAACGGAGGAAGUGCACGGGAUACUGCGAGGCUGGAGUACAGAAGAGGACAGCGGAAUUCCCGGUGUAGAGGUGAAAUUCGUAGAUAUCGGGAGGAACACCAGUGGAU